GAGUGUGAGUCAUGCCAGCUUGGGAAACAUACCCGAGCCUUCUUUCCUCGUAGUAUUGAGAAUCGUGCAGAGUCUGUUUUUUCUUUAGUUCAUUCGGAUAUAUGGGGUCCUAGUAGAGUUAGUUCAACCUUGGGAUUUCGUUAUUUUGUUAGUUUCAUUGUUUUCUCCUUGCUUCAUUAUGAUAUAUGGGGUCCUAGUAGAGUUAGUUCAACCUUGGGAUUUUGUUAUUUUGUUAGUUUCAUUGAUGAUCAUUCAAGAUGUACUUGGAUUUUCUUAAUGAAAGAUCGUUCUUAAUUGUUUUCUAUAUUCC
rnacentral:lncRNA from 1 species